rnacentral:rRNA from 1 species
UUAUUAGGUUUAAAGGUCCCUAGACGGUAAAACUAGCCCCAAAAGGAACAGCUUUACUAGAGUUUUAUGUGAGAGGUAUAUGUUAGGACUGUUGGUGUAGAGAUGAAAUUCUGUCAUACUAAUGGGACGGAUGGCGGCGAAAGCAAACCUCUAUGUAUAAACUGACGUUGAGGGACGAAGGCUUGGGGAGCAAAUAGGAUUAGAUACCCUAGUAGUCCAGGCAGAGAAUUAUGAAUGUUAUAUGCUAGGUUUUUACACUUGGUGUAUAAAUGAAAGUGCAAGCAUUCCACCUCAAGAGUAAUGUGGCAACGCAGGAACUGAAAUCAUUAGACCGUGUCUGAAACCAGUAGUGAAGUAUGUUAUUUAAUUCGAUGAUCCUCGAAAAACCUUACCACAAUUUGAAUAUUAUUUCUUUAAAUAAUACAAAGCGUUGCACGGCUGUCUUCAGUUAAUGUCGUGAGAUUUUGGUUAGAUUCAUUAAUUAACGUAAACCCAUAC